rnacentral:rRNA from 1 species
UACGAAGGGGGCUAGCGUUGCUCGGAAUUACUGGGCGUAAAGCGCACGUAGGCGGUCUUUUAAGUCGGGGGUGAAAUCCUGGAGCUCAACUCCAGAACUGCCUCGAUACUGGAAGACUUGAGUCCGGGAGAGGUGAGUGGAACUGCGAGUGUAGAGGUGAAAUUCGUAGAUAUUCGCAAGAACACCAGUGGCGAAGGCGGCUUACUGGUCCGGAUCUGACGCUGAGGCGCGAAAGCGUGGGGAGCA